rnacentral:lncRNA from 10 species
CACCUAACUUUUCAGCAGUACAAGCCCGAUUGAGAUCUUCUGGUCCGUUUGUUUGCCAUUCAUGUUUUAUGCCUUGAAAUUUCUUUUUGAUUGCAUCCUUGGAGCUUGUAUAGAUCAUUUUACUUUUCAAAGGUGCUAGUUCUGAUGCCCACAAGAAAACAUCAAUUCUUCUGGAUUCUUUUGUUUCAAAGCUUGCAUCAUACAAAGCAUAGCAACAAUCUUUUUCAGGAAGCAUUCCCACAAAAUGCUUGAAAGGCUCACUUAUAGUUACACCAACAUCUCCAACCAAGAUCUCUUUGCCUUCUACAUGAUGCACUUUUUGUCUGCACUGAGACAAAAAAAUGACAGCCUUUGUUCUUUUCUUGAUUUCUUCUGGUGUGGAGCAUUUACGAACUCUCAUGUCAUAAAAAAUGCGACACACUUCAUCAGCAACUUGCACUCCUGAGGUCAUCUUCGCCCACCACCACAGGGACGCGGGGGAGGGAGCCGGCGGGUAGUGAGUCUGGGCAGCGUCCUCCUCGUGGCUGCGGGACUGAG